GAUGAAGAACGCAGUGAAAUGCGAUAAGUAGUGUGAAUUGCAGAAUUCAGUGAAUCAUCGAAUCUUUGAACGCACAUUGCGCCCUUUGGUAUUCCUUAGGGCAUGCCUGUUCAAGCGUCAUUUGAAACCUCAAGCUCAGCUUGGUGUUGGGUGUCUGUCCCCGCCUCCGCGGGGACUCGCCUCAAAAUCAUUGGCGGCCGGUACGUUGGCUUCGAGCGCAGCAGAAACGCGAACUCGAGGCCCGGCGGAUCGGCGACCAGAAGUCUCUUCUUCACAGUUUGACCUCGGAUCAGGUAGGGAUACCCGCUGAACUUAAGCAUAUCAAUAAGCGGAGGA
rnacentral:misc_RNA from 1 species